rnacentral:rRNA from 1 species
GGGUGAAAUCAUACCAGCACUAAUGCACUGGAUACCAUCAAAAUUCAGCAGUUAAGCGUGUUUAGGCGAGAGUAGUACUAUGAUGGGUGACCUUUUUGGAAGUCCUCGUAUUACACCCC